UCAAUAUUUUUAUCUUUUAGAGUUCUUAUUAUCAUGUUUUAUAAGCUAUUGUUCUUUAAUUUCGUUUUCUUAUGUUAUAUUUCUGGAUUUGAAUCUUUUGUUUUAAUAUGAUUGAAAUCUUUGAUCCUGUAUUCUGGCAAUUGGUUUGUUAAUUUUCGAUUCUGGAUCUUGAUUCCUGUGAUUGGUUUGGUUCUUAAACCUAUAUUUGAUCGAAGCUUAUAAUUGUGAUAAGCUUACAAAAUCAUAGCUUCUAUGGUGUUAACUAAGCUUAUAAUUGCUUGAUUUCUGAAUCUUCCAACAUUUUUAUUGUUGUUUAGAAUUUCUUCUAUGCUAUAAUAUAUAUGUUUAAAUUUCGUUACUUCACUCUAUUAUUCAAUUCAGAUGUUCUUCUUGGCUAUUAUAUAUGUUUCAGAUUUGUUUGUUUCAGUCUAAUAUUGAUUCAGAUGUUAGUCUUAUAUUUUGUUAGAUUUAUUAAAAAGAUUCUGAUCUAUGUUCAUCUUAUAUUGGUUUGGUUGAUUAAAUAUAUUAUUUUAAACAAAACAAAAAAUGCUAUGGUAUGUUACAAAUUUAGACUAUUUAUUUUGAUUCAAAUGUUCAUCUUAUAUCUUCUAGAUUUAUUGAACAGAUUCCAUUCAAGUGUUCCUCUUGUUUGGUUGAUUAAACCUAUAUUAUAAUUAAAACCAAAAAAAGCUAUGAUGUUUUCCAGAUUUAGAAUAUUUAUUGAGAAAAUAGCCUAUCAAAUUUGGUAGUCUGAAAUUCCUCUUUAGGCAAAAUAAUUCAUUUCAGAGAACAAUGUAGUAGUCAUUUUAGCUGGUUUAAAUGUAGAAUGUUUAUUGGACCGGUUAUCUAUCUAUUUUGUAUCCUUUUACGCUUGCGUUCUUGUUUACCCCAAAUUAGUUCUUCGCCUGGAGAUUGAAGCUAGCGAUUUGCUUGAACCUAAGAUCCAUUGUCUGGUUCUCUUUGCUGGACCUUAACAGUAUGGGUCAGUUUAAGAUGAAGUUAAAGCUGAAGUGGUUAGAGAAGAUGAAGAAAGAUAAGAGGGAGUUAAAGAACAGGCUUACGCUAUUAGUCUUUCUCCUCCUGUUAGCGAAACCUAUGAUAUAAAUCAUCCAGAUGGUAGCGACAAAGUCUACAAGUCCAUCGUCCUUCAUAACAAGCUCACUGUUCUUUUAAUAUCUGACCCAUCUGCUGCAAGCAACUCUGCUGCAAUGAGUGUGAAGUUUGGAUCUUUUGAUGAUCCAAGUGAUAUGCAAGGACUAGCCCACCUGAUAGAACACAUGGUUUUCUCUGGUUCAACUAUUGAUGGUGGAGAAAACGAUUUCAAGGACUUUGUGGGGAUGCAUGGUGGUGAUGUUUUUGCUAACACGGAACCGGAAUAUAUGGGUUUCUCUUUUACGAUUGUAAAAGAUCAUUUCAAAGCUGCGUUGGAAAUGUUUGCCAAUAUGUUCAACUAGUAAUCAACCACCGUGAGAGUUAACGUGAGUACGACACCUAGGAAAGUGACUUCUCAAAUAAUAUUAUAGAGAUGAACCUCUAAUGGAUAUUGAACGUUUUAAAAAAGAGAUGAAGACACUCAAUUCAGAGUUUGAAUCUAACAAAUAUAAAGACACCAGCCGGAUGGAACAAUUAUUUUCUCAUACCUCUCCAGAAAAUCAUCCAUUCAACCGGUUCACAUGGGGCAACAAUCAAUCCUUCUCUGGCCAUGAACCGCAAGCCCUCCGUGACUGUGCUUUGAAGCUGUUCCGAAGUCACUUCGUAGGAGCUUCCAUGAAGCUCGUUAUAAUCGGUUCAGAAGCUGUAGAUGAACUUGAAGAUUUGGUCAUUGUGUAUUUUUCCAAUCUUAAACGUUGGAGAAAGACUAAUUUUGUAUUUCCUGAGUAUAAUGAUCGUCUUUGGAAGCAUGGCGUUUCUUACACACUUGAGUCUUUAGAAGAUGCCCAGAGUAUGAAGAUUUCUUGGAUAAUUCCUCCUAUCUCUCUCUCUCAUAUCUGAGAUAAGGCCAGAGCAGUUAAUUCACAGACUUAUAUGUGAAGAGAGUGAAGGCUCUCUUUGCUUCUUUUUCAAGUCCAAGCACUGGAUCACUUCUUUCACUGCACCAGUUGGUCAUAGAUAUGACCCAUGCUGGAUUGGUGGUAAUUUAGGUGGCGGAUACAGCUUUGCGUGAGCUCUUCUUCUUCUUCUUCUUCUUUAGAAGAGCUUUGGGCUUGUGUAUUUUUGAAUUUGAUCGGAGAUGCUUACCUAUGCGUAGUAGUGCAAGAAAAAAAAACAUACUGUGAGCGACAACAACGACCUGUACACAAACAAUAUUGAUAAUUAAAACAAAUAGACGACACCUUGAUGAGGCUUGGAGGUGCUA